GAUCAUUUAGCAUGCAUUAAUGCUCGAUGCGCUGAUCCUUGCCGGGGAACAUGUGGCGUUGUUGCAGAAUGUACAACAAUCCGCCACACCCCAAAUUGCCUAUGUCCACCCAACUAUACAGGAGAUCCAUUUGUUAGAUGUACGCAAGUGGAAUCAGAAAUGGAAUGUCAACCAAACCCAUGCGGGAGCAAUACAAAAUGCAAAGUUCGUGGCAGUGCUAAAGCAUGCUCGUGCCUUAAUGGAUACUACGGUUAUUAAUAAAUAAAUAAAUGGAUACUACGGUGAUCCACUGAGUGGAUGCCGCCGCGGAUCAAACUAUGAGCGCGAGUCAAACUAUGAGCGCGAGUCAAACGAUGCGUGCGUGUCAAACGAUGACUGUGGCAGCCGAUGUUGUUUAAACUUUAGGUGUUUUCCUG